rnacentral:rRNA from 1 species
UACAGAGGUCUCAAGCGUUGUUCGGAUUCAUUGGGCGUAAAGGGUGUGUAGGUGGCGCGCUAAGUCGGGUGUGAAAUUUCGGAGCUUAACUCCGAAACUGCAUUCGAUACUGGCGUGCUUGAGGACUGGAGAGGAGACUGGAAUUCAUGGUGUAGCAGUUGAAAUGCGUAGAGAUCAUGAGGAAGACCAGUGGCGAAGGCGGGUCUCUGGACAGUUCCUGACACUGAGACACGAAGGCCAGGGGAGCAAACGGG